rnacentral:rRNA from 1 species
GAUGAACGCUGGCGGCGUGCCUAAUACAUGCAAGUCGAGCGAACAGAUGAGGAGCUUGCUCCUCUGACGUUAGCGGCGGACGUGUGAGUAACACGUGUAUAACCUACCUAUAAUACUGGGAUAACUUCGGGAAACCGGAGCUAAUACCGGAUAAUAUCUUGAACCGCAUGGUUCAAUAGUGAAAGACGGUUUUGCUGUCACUUAUAGAUGGAUCCGCGCCGCAUUAGCUAGUUGGUAAGGUAACGGCUUACCAAGGCAACGAUGCGUAGCCGACCUGAGAGGGUGGUCGGCCACACUGGAACUGAGACACGGUCAAGACGCCUAAGGGAGGCAGCAGUAGGGAAUCUGCCGCAAUGGGCGAAAGCAUGACGGAGCAACGCCGCGUGAGUGAUGAAGGUCUUCGGAUCGUAAAACUCUGUUAUUAGGGAAGAACAAAUGUGUAAGUAAAUAUGCACGUCUUGACGGUAACUAAUCAGAAAGCCACGGCUAACUACGUG